CGCGGUAAUUCCAGCUCUGUAAGCGUAUACCAAAGUUGUUGCAGUUAAAACGCUCGUAGUCGGAAGGUUGGCGGGCGGCGUGGGGCGUCCUUACGGACGGGUCUGCGGCGGCCGCCUUUGUGGAGGGGGGCUAGAGCGAUGUUUCAUUACAUUGCACUAGUCGCUGCCACCGUUUACUGUGAAAAAAUUAGAGUGUUCAAAGCGGGCGUUUGCCAUGAAUACAUUAGCAUGGAAUAAUAGAAUAGGACCUGUGUUCUGUUUUGUUGGUUUGUGAGGCGCGGGUAAUGAUUAAGAGGGACGGUUGGGGGCAUUUGUAUUCCGGCGUCAGAGGUGAAAUUCUUGGAUUGCCGGAAGACAAACGGCUGCRAAAGCGUCUGCCAAGGACGUUUUCAUUGAUCAAGAACGAAAGUAAGGGGAUCGAAGACGAUCAGAUACCGUCGUAKUCUUUACUAUAAACGAUGAGGACUGGGGAUCGGGCGGGGCUGUUUUUGGCCCGCCCGGCACCCUUCRGGAAACCAAAGUGUUUGCUUUCUGGGGGGAGUAUGGUCGCAAGGCUGAAACUUAAAGGAAUUGACGGAAGGGCAUC
rnacentral:rRNA from 1 species